UAGCUAAUCCUGGUCGGACAUCAGGAGGUUAGUGCAAUGGCAUAAGCUAGCUUGACUGCGAGCGUGACGGCGCGAGCAGGUGCGAAAGCAGGUCAUAGUGAUCCGGUGGUUCUGAAUGGAAGGGCCAUCGCUCAACGGAUAAAAGGUACUCCGGGGAUAACAGGCUGAUACCGCCCAAGAGUUCAUAUCGACGGCGGUGUUUGGCACCUCGAUGUCGGCUCAUCACAUCCUGGGGCUGAAGUAGGUCCCAAGGGUAUGGCUGUUCGCCAUUUAAAGUGGUACGCGAGCUGGGUUUAGAACGUCGUGAGACAGUUCGGUCCCUAUCUGCCGUGGGCGCUGGAGAAUUGAGGGGGGCUGCUCCUAGUACGAGAGGACCGGAGUGGACGCAUCACUGGUGUUCGGGUUGUCAUGCCAAUGGCACUGCCCGGUAGCUAAAUGCGGA
rnacentral:rRNA from 1 species